GACGAACGCUGGCGGCGUGCUUAACACAUGCAAGUCGAACGGACAGGCCCUGCUCUUGUUGCUUGCUCGAGUGCCGAACGGGUGAGUAACACGUGAGUAACCUGCCCUUGACUUUCUGAUAACUCCAGGAAACUGGGGAUCAUACCGGAUAUAAGCUCCUGCUCCAUGGGGGGGGAUGGUAAGAGUCGGCGGUGUGGGAUCGACUCGCGGCUUAUCAGCUUGCUGGGGGGGUAGUGGCUUACCAAGGCUGUGACGGGUAGCCGGCCUGAGAGGGUGGACGGCCACAAGAGGACUGAGAGACGGACCAGAAUGCUACGGGAGGCAGCAGUGGGGAAUAUUGCGGAGUGGGGGGAAGCCAGAGACAGCGGCGCCGCGUGCGGGAUGACCGGUUUCGGGGUGUGAACCACUGUCGCCUGAGACGUGGCGUGAGUGACGGUAAUGAGUAAGGAAGCACCGGCUAACUACGUG
rnacentral:rRNA from 1 species